rnacentral:rRNA from 1 species
GCAACGAGCGCAACCCCUAUUGCUAGUUACCAUCAUUAAGUUGGGGACUCUAGCGAGACUGCCAGUGAUAAACUGGAGGAAGGUGGGGAUGACGUCAAAUCAUCAUGCCCCUUAUGACCUGGGCUACAAACGUGAUACAAUGGCUGGAACAAAGGGAUGCGAAGCAGUGAUGUGGAGCGAAACCCAUAAAACAGUCUCAGUUCGGAUUGAAGUCUGCAACUCGACUUCAUGAAGUUGGAAUCGCUAGUAAUCGUGGAUCAGCAUGCCACGGUGAAUACGUUCCCGGGCCUU